UACGUAGGGGGCAAGCGUUGUCCGGAAUCAUUGGGCGUAAAGCGCGUGUAGGCGGCUAGGUAAGUCUGCUCUGAAAGCCCGGGGCUCAACCCGUGAGGCGGGUGGAUACUGUCUAGCUCGAGUCCGGAAGAGGAGUGUGGAAUUCCUGGUGUAGCGGUGAAAUGCGCAGAUAUCAGGAGGAACACCAAUGGCGAAGGCAGCACUCUGGGGACGUGACUGACGCUGAGACGCGAAAGCGUGGGGAGCAAACAGGG
rnacentral:rRNA from 1 species